rnacentral:rRNA from 1 species
UGUAAGUAAAGAUACUAAUGCAUAUGGUGGAUGCCUUGGGUAUUCGCGCCGAUGAAGGAGGUGCUAAGCUGCCAUAAGCCUCGAGGAGUUGCUACGAAACGUUAUUACUCGGGGACUUCCGAAUGGGGAAACCCAACCCGCUUAUAAGGCGAGGUUACUAAUUACUGAAAGUUGCGCAAGCGACCAUAGGUAAUUUAGAGGGAACUCGGCGAACUGAAACAACUUAGUAGCCGGAGGAAAAGAAACCAAAUCAGGUAUUCUCCUAGUAGCGGCGAGCGAACGGGGAACAGCCCAAACCCAUAUUAAUAUUGGGGGUAUAGACAAUCCUAAUGUUUGAUCAUAGAAGAGUUAACUAAAUUUUUUUCGUAGAAGAAGCCUUCUGGAAAGAAGCGCCAUAGAGGGUAACAGCCCCGUAUUUGAAACGAAAAAAACUCUUGGGUUGAUCUUGAGUAGCACGGGACACGUGUAACCCUGUGUGAAGAAACGACGUCCACGUCGUAAGGCUAAAUACGCGAAUACACCGAUAGCGCAUAGUACCGUGAGGGAAAGGUGAAAAGAACCCCUGUUAGGGGAGUGAAAUAGAUACUGAAACCGUAUGCAGACAAGCUGGCAAAGCCCGCAAGGGUAAUGCCGUGCCUAUUGAAGAAUGAGCCAACGAGUUAAUAGAUUGGGCAAGCUUAAGCCGUAACAGCGGCGGAGGCGUAGGGAAACCGAGUCUUAAUAGGGCGACCAGUCCAUUUUAUUAGACCCGAAGCCAGGUGAGCUAACCAUGGCCAGGAUGAAACCCUGCGAAAUCAGGGUGAAGGUCCGAACCGUUGUAUGAGGAAAAAUGCUCGGAUGAGCUGUGGUUAGGGGUGAAACGCUAAUCGAACUUGGCAAUAGCUGGUUCUCCCCGAAAUAUAUUUAGGUAUAGCCCUUGAAUACAAGGUCUACGUCGGUUUACCGACUAAGCCUUGUUUAUAACUUUGCGAGGUAGAGAUACUGAAAGGGGAUGGGGCGCGCAAGUGUACCCACCCCUACCAAACUCCGAAUGCGCAAAGUGUUCCAAGGAGUCAGUGCUGCGGGGAAAUCUCGUGGCACGAAAGGGAAACAACCCGGACCAUCAGCUAAGGUCCCUAAAUUAUGCUUAGUGGGCAAGGAAGUGAGAUCGUUAAGACAGCUAGGAGGUUGGCUUAGAAGCAGCCACCCUUUAAAGAUAGCGUAACAGCUCACUAGUUGAACGAUUUCGCGCCGACGAUUUAACGGGGCUCAAGCAUAAUACCGAAGCUAUGGAUUUGCUGUUUUUAACAGCGAGUGGUAGGGGAGCUUUGAUGCAGCAGUGAAGGUGUACCCGUGAGGGGCGCUGGAGCGGCAUCAAGUGAGAAUGUUGGCAUGAGUAACGUAAGGGUGGUGAAAACCCACCCCACCGAAAGUCUAAGGGUUCCUCCGCAAUGUCAGUCAUCGGAGGGUUAGUCGACCCUAAGGGGAGGCCGAAAGGCGUACCUGAUGGAUAGCAGGUUAAUAUUCCUGCACUUUUGUAAGACCGUUACUACCGAAGGGAGGACGGAGCAUGAUGGACCAAGCUCAUUAAGGAUUUGAGUCCCAAAAGCAAGGCAGCUUGUGUAGGUAAAUCCGCACAGGCGUUACGUCGAGCUAAGGGAAAGUCUGCCGCAAGGCGGAUAAUUUGGUGUCACGCAAGCUUCCAAGAAAAUUCUCUAGGGAGGUCUUACAAUAUUCGUACCGUAAACCGACACAGGUAGAUGAGUAGAGGAUACUAAGGUGAACGAGCGAAUCGUGGUUGAGGAACUAGGCAAAUUACAUCCGUAACUUAGGGAAAAGGAUGCCCUGCCACGAACCUACGCAAGUAGGGAGUCGGUAGGGGGCACAAAAAUGGCUCAAGCGACUGUUUAACAAAAACAUAGGUCUCUGCUAAACCAGUAAUGGGAUGUAUAGGGGCCGAUGCCUGCCCAGUGCCCGUAGGUCAAGAUCGGGGGUGAUUUCCAACUUCGGUUGGAAUGAGCUUUUGGUUUAAGCCCGGGUGAACGGCNNNNNNAACUAUAACUGUUCUAUGGUGAAUUUACGCGCCGCCAUAGUGGGGAGCUAAGCUCUCCCGUUUGGAUGUGCCCAAACGCAACCUGACUAUAUGCUGGAAACUCCGUCCAUACUUCUUUAUUGAAGAUAUGGUGUCUCUAAUUUAAUUAGAGAAAAGAAUCUUGGACUACUAAACAUAUUCGUAUAAUAUUCGGGUAUGCGCAGUGAAAAUGUACCAAGUGCGGACAAUCAGCAGGAAAGACUAAGAUUUGAGGGGUGGCUAGUUGGUUUUACAGAUGGAGAAGGUGCUUUCACAGUUAGCAUCUUGAAAAAUUCCACAAGCAAAACCGGCUGGCAAGUGUUUCCCGAAUUUAUUAUUACUCAGGGAGCACGAAGCAAGGAUGUUCUUUAUUUGUUCAAAGAAUUUUUCGCUUGUGGAAAUGUUUAUCUUAAUAGAAGACAUGAUAACCACAACGAAGAUCUUUACAGAUACUGUGUCAGAUCCAUAAAAGAUUUACAGAACGUGAUAAUUCCAUUCUUCUCAAGGAUCGUUUUACGAUCGGAUAAGAGGAAAGAUUUUUCAUUGUUUUGCAAAGUGAUGGGUUUGAUAAGUAAUAAGGAACAUCUCAGUAUUGCAGGUUUGUUUAAAAUUGCCGGGCUGGCAAUGAAAAUGAACCGUAAAGUCAGACCCAAAUUCUUAGAAUCCUCACUCACUAUACGUCAGGCCUCUGAAGGUUCAGAGGAAGAGAUAGUGGCGUCUGCAUGGCGACAUGCAGGAAUCAAUUCUUAGGGAAAGAAUGAUUCAAAAUUCGCGGAAACGCGAACGAAGAUUACAAGCGUAAUCCCUUGUCGGGUAAGUUCCGACCCGCACGAAAGGCAUAACGACUUGAGCACUCUCUUAAUCACGAGCUCGGUGAAAUUGAACUACCGGUGAAGAUGCCGGUUACUCGUUGUUGGACAAAAAGACCCCGUGGAGCUUUACUGUAGCUUGGUAUUGGUAAUCGGUGUUAAAUGUGUAGUGUAGGAGGGAGAUCCAUACUUGUAUGUAUCGUCAAUGAAACACCUCUCUUUUGGCUCUGAGAGCCUAACUACUCUGCAUUACCUGCAGAGGGGACAAUGCCUGGCGGGCAGUUUAUCUGGGGCGGAUUCCUGCUAAAGGAUAACGCAGGAGCCCAAAGGUUCUCUUAGCACCGAUGGAAAUGGUGCUGUAAGCGUAAAGGUAUAUGAGAGCUUGACUGCGAGACUUACAAGUCGAGCAGAUACGAAAGUAGGGCUUAGUGAUCUUCCGUGUGCCUAGUGGUAGGCCCGGAACUUAUCGGAUAAAAGUUACCCCGGGGAUAACAGGCUGAUCUUGCCCGAGCGUCCAUAGCGGCGGCAAGGUUUGGCACCUCGAUGUCGUCUCGUCACAUCCUGGAGCUGGAGCAGGUUCCAAGGGUCCGGCUGUUCGCCGGUUAAAGUGGCGCGUUAGAUGGGUUAAGAACGUCGUGAGACAGUUCGGUCUCUUUCCACAACGAGCGUUUGGCUUUGAGAGGACUCAUUCCUAGUACGAGAGGACCGGAAUGACAGAACCUCUAGUGUACCAGUUGUUCUACCAAGGGCAUUGCUGGGUAGCUACGUCCUGACUUGAUAAGUGCUGAAAGCAUCUAAGCACGAAGCAAACCUCAAGAUUAAAGCCGUUCCGCUUUAAGCGGACACAAUUCCUGGGAGAUUACCAGGUUGAUAGGCCGUAGGUGUAAGCACAGCAAUGUGUUCAGCCAAGCGGUACUAAUAUUUUGUGAGUCUU